rnacentral:rRNA from 1 species
AGGAUGAACGCUGGCGGUGUGCCUAAUACAUGCAAGUCGAACGAGAUCUUCGGAUCUAGUGGCGGACGGGUGAGUAACACGUUGGUACCUACCCCUAAGUGGGGAAUAACUGCCCGAAAGGGUGGCUAAUACCGCAUAAUCCCGCAAGGGUAAAGCAGUAAUGCGCUUAGGGAGGGGCCUGCGUCUGAUUAGCUAGUUGGUGAGGUAAUUGCUCACCAAGGCGACGAUCAGUAGCUGGAUCGAGAGGUUGACCAGCCACACUGGGACUGAGAUACGGCCCAGACACCUACGGGUGGCAGCAGUCGAGAAUUUUUCUCAAUGGGGGAAACCCUGAAGGAGCGACGCCGCGUGGAGGAUGAAGGUCUUCGGAUUGUAAACUCCUGUCAUUUGGGAACAAGGUGCGCGCGUUAACUGCACGCGCAUUGAUAGUACCAGAAGAGGAAGAGACGGCUAACUCUGCGCCAGCAGCCGCGGU